rnacentral:rRNA from 1 species
GCGCCUGGGAAUCUGCCCUUGGGUACGGAAUAACUCAGAGAAAUUUGUGCUAAUACCGUAUAAUGACUUCGGUCCAAAGAUUUAUCGCCCAAGGAUGAGCCCGCGUAAGAUUAGCUAGUUGGUGGGGUAAAGGCCUACCAAGGCUACGAUCUUUAGCUGGUCUGAGAGGAUGAUCAGCCACACUGGGACUGAGACACGGCCCAGACUCCUACGGGAGGCAGCAGUGGGGAAUAUUGGACAAUGGGCGAAAGCCUGAUCCAGCAAUGCCGCGUGAGUGAUGAAGGCCUUAGGGUUGUAAAGCUCUUUUACCCGGGAUGAUAAUGACAGUACCGGGAGAAUAAGCUCCGGCUAACUCCGUGCCAGCAGCCGCGGUAAUACGGAGGGAGCUAGCGUUGUUCGGAAUUACUGGGCGUAAAGCGCGCGUAGGCGGUCUUUUAAGUCAGAGGUGAAAGCCCGGGGCUCAACCCCGGAAUAGCCUUUGAAACUGGAAGACUUGAAUCUUGGAGAGGUCAGUGGAAUUCCGAGUGUAAAGGUGAAAUUCGUAU